UACGUAGGGUGCAGGCGUUAAUCGGAAUUACUGGGCGUAAAGCGUGCGCAGGCGGUCUGCUAAGACAGGUGUGAAAUCCCCGGGCUUAACCUGGGAACUGCGCUUGUUACUGGCAGGCUUGAGUGUGGCAGAGGGGGGUGGAAUUCCACGUGUAGCAGUGAAAUGCGUAGAGAUGUGGAGGAACACCGAUGGCGAAGGCAGCCCCCUGGGCUAACACUGACGCUCAUGCACGAAAGCGUGGGGAGCAAACAGGAUUAGAAACCCCAGUAGUCC
rnacentral:rRNA from 1 species